rnacentral:tRNA from 1 species
AGUGGCCUAGUGGGUGAGGCGACCGCCUGGUGACGCAGGGGACGUGGGUUCGAGGCCGG